AAUGGGUCAGCGACUUAUAUUCUGUAGCAAGGUUAACCGAAUAGGGGAGCCGAAGGGAAACCGAGUCUUAACUGGGCGUUAAGUUGCAGGGUAUAGACCCGAAACCCGGUGAUCUAGCCAUGGGCAGGUUGAAGGUUGGGUAACACUAACUGGAGGACCGAACCGACUAAUGUUGAAAAAUUAGCGGAUGACUUGUGGCUGGGGGUGAAAGGCCAAUCAAACCGGGAGAUAGCUGGUUCUCCCCGAAAGCUAUUUAGGUAGCGCCUCGUGAAUUCAUCUCCGGGGGUAGAGCACUGUUUCGGCAAGGGGGUCAUCCCGACUUACCAACCCGAUGCAAACUGCGAAUACCGGAGAAUGUUAUCACGGGAGACACACGGCGGGUGCUAACGUCCGUCGUGAAGAGGGAAACAACCCAGACCGCCAGCUAAGGUCCCAAAGUCAUGGUUAAGUGGGAAACGAUGUGGGAAGGCCCAGACAGCCAGGAUGUUGGCUUAGAAGCAGCCAUCAUUUAAAGAAAGCGUAAUAGCUCACUGGUCGAGUCGGCCUGCGCGGAAGAUGUAACGGGGCUAAACCAUGCACCGAAGCUGCGGCAGCGACACUAUGUGUUGUUGGGUAGGGGAGCGUUCUGUAAGCCUGUGAAGGUGUACUGUGAGGUAUGCUGGAGGUAUCAGAAGUGCGAAUGCUGACAUAAGUAACGAUAAAGCGGGUGAAAAGCCCGCUCGCCGGAAGACCAAGGGUUCCUGUCCAACGUUAAUCGGGGCAGGGUGAGUCGACCCCUAAGGCGAGGCCGAAAGGCGUAGUCGAUGGGAAACAGGUUAAUAUUCCUGUACUUGGUGUUACUGCGAAGGGGGGACGGAGAAGGCUAUGUUGGCCGGGCGACGGUUGUCCCGGUUUAAGCGUGUAGGCUGAUUUUCCAGGCAAAUCCGGAAAAU
rnacentral:rRNA from 1 species